rnacentral:rRNA from 1 species
GACGAACGCUGGCGGCGUGCUUAACACAUGCAAGUCGAACGGAAAGGCCCUUCGGGGUACUCGAGUGGCGAACGGGUGAGUAACACGUGGGUGAUCUGCCCUGCACUUUGGGAUAAGCCUGGGAAACUGGGUCUAAUACCGAAUAGGACCGCGCGCUUCAUGGUGUGUGGUGGAAAGCUUUUGCGGUGUGGGAUGGGCCCGCGGCCUAUCAGCUUGUUGGUGGGGUAAUGGCCUACCAAGGCGACGACGGGUAGCCGGCCUGAGAGGGUGACCGGCCACACUGGGACUGAGAUACGGCCCAGACUCCUACGGGAGGCAGCAGUGGGGAAUAUUGCACAAUGGGUGCAAGCCUGAUGCAGCGACGCCGCGUGAGGGAUGACGGCCUUCGGGUUGUAAACCUCUUUCACCAGGGACGAAGCGCAAGUGACGGUACCUGGAGAAGAAGCACCGGCCAACUACGU